UGCAUCGGCCGGGAUCCGAACCCGGGCCGCCCGCGUGGCAGGCGAGCAUUCUACCACUAAGCCACCGAUGC
rnacentral:tRNA from 1 species